UUUUAAUAUUACAUUUAUCAUACCUUAGUUGAUUUGUUUUGUGUAGCAGUGUUUUUCUUGUAAGUAGCAAUUAGCCAGCGUCAGUUUUAAGUUUGUUCCUUCACUAAAAAAUAGUAGUCAUAUAGUAUGACUAAUGGAAUAGUAACAUUUUCCCAGAAGAAAAACAAAGAGAAGCCCAGGGUGGAUGGGGACGAAAGAUUUGACUGACAAUUUGGUUCUAAAAAAGGAAAGCUAUAUUUCAAUGAAGCUGGAGAAUAAACACAACUAGCUACAACUUUCUUGGCUUCCCUUUCUUUUGGCAUUUUAACUUUUGCGUUUUCUUUUGGGGAAAUUGGUUUGUUCUUUUUCUGGCUAUCUGUGAUAAAGUGCUAGUGAGAUAAGCAAGUUAGGAAUGGGAAAUAUUGAGAUAAGCAGGUUAGGAUUUAUGGCAAAUAUUUUACCCAUUAUACCUUCUUCCAUCUUUUUACCGAAUAAAAUGCAAUGCAAUUUCUUGGAUCUCCA